CAGCCAAGAACACAGGCCUAUCACCCCAGAAGAAUGUCAGUGCUAGUAAGAAUAUCUGUGCCGGUCUCACAUCCAUUGGACAGUUUUGUUUUUGUGUCCAGACUCUCAGUUUUACUGCCACCAUCACUACUUGACCAGCACUUAGCCUUUAAGACACAAUAAAAGUCACAAGAUAAAUGAAUAACAUCUUUAAGCUGCUGAGAAAAAAGAAAAGAUAAAUAACCGUCAAUCUCAAAUACAAGGAAGUAUCAACUAGUAUGCCGGAGUGAGUGGCUCGCUAAAAAGGGAAAAAUAGCAUAUAAUUGGCUCUUAAAAUCUGCUUAGUUAUGUAAUGGAAUUGAAUGAAGCAGGUGUCAGAUCUACAUCUCUACAAACACUCAUUUUAUCAGUUCAGAGAAUAAAGAGAGGAAUUUAAUAAUGCCACUGGACACUUAUACUCUAUCGGAUCCUAAUAAUUUCUCACACUAAUGAAUUCUUCUAUCAACUUCAUGUUAAUCAAGAGGAGACAGAGCCAAGAAGUGAGUAAUUGCUUACUGAAUUGUGAAAGCAAGGAUGAUUUAACUACAGCCUCCCUAGAAUGUGACAGUCCACAGAAAUAUCUGAUUUCAAAGAGAUGCUUGCAUUCUGUACUGAUGCCACCUAGAAUUGUAAUGACCAGUGUCACACUGCUAAGUGGAGAAAGUGUGAAAGAAGAAUCCCAUCAGCACAUUAACGAUAGAGGAAAUAAGAAACAAUGAAAGCCACAAGUGAGUCCUGAGUUGGUCAACAGUAUUGCACUUCUCCAGGCAAGUAGAAAAAUCUAAUUUGUGUUCUACCUCCAUUCCAAGCUUCUACACUCCACUUUUGAAGAUAUAUACAAUUAGUAAAAUAGUCCCAAAUAGUCAGAAAAAGAAAGGGGGCAUUGGUUUAAAUGCCUAGAUUAUUGAAAUUAUAGAAAUAGGGCAUUUCUAAAAAAAUCAAAUAGUUUUCUCAACUUCUAACUAGAUAAUCUGUGUUUAUGAAGAUUCACAUACCUGGGAAGAAAAAAGAAGUGAUGUAUUCUUAUGCUUUUUGAAUUUAGUUUCAACGUACUAUAAAAUGAAAUUGUAUCAUUUUAUUCAGUUUGUCACUCCCCCCACUCCACUCCACUCAAGACUUUAGCACUGUCUACAAUUUCAAAUACAACCUAAUACACUUAUUAAGACCUUCAUAUACUAGCCCUUGCU